rnacentral:rRNA from 1 species
CUAGCGACAGGCUAACACAUGCAGGUCGAGGGGUAACAGGGUAGCAAUACCGCUGACGACCGGCGCACGGGUGAGUAACGCGUAUGCAACCUGCCUAUAACUGGGGAAUAGCUCCCUGAAAGGGGAAUUAACACCGCAUAACACUAUUGAUUCGCAUGGAUUGGUAGUUAAAUGUAGCGAUACAGGUUAUAGAUGGGCAUGCGUGACAUUAGCUAGUUGGUGAGGUAACGGCUCACCAAGGCUACGAUGUCUAGGGGUUCUGAGAGGAAGGUCCCCCCACACUGGUACUGAGACACGGACCAGACUCCUACGGGAGGCAGCAGUGAGGAAUAUUGGUCAAUGGGCGCAAGCCUGAACCAGCCAUGUCGCGUGCAGGGAAAAGACUGCCCUAUGGGUUGUAAACUGCUUUUAUAGUAGAAGAAACACAUCUACGCGUAGAUGUCUGCCAGUAUACUAUAAAUAAGCAUCGGCUAACUCCGUGCCAGCCGCGGC